UACAGAGGUCUCAAGCGUUGUUCGGAAUCACUGGGCGUAAAGGGUGCGUAGGCGGCACGGUAAGUCAGAGGUGAAAUCCCGGAGCUCAACUUCGGAAUUGCCUCCGAUACUGCCGUGCUUGAGGACUGGAGAGGAGAUUGGAAUUCACAGUGGAGCAGUGAAAUGCGUAGAUAUUGUGAGGAACACUAGUGGCGAAGGCGAAUCUCUGGACAGUUCCUGACGCUGAGGCACGAAGGCCAGGGGAGCAAACGGG
rnacentral:rRNA from 1 species